rnacentral:misc_RNA from 1 species
AAUUAAUUAUAUAAAAAAUAAAUAAAUAAGACAAAAAUGGAUGUUUCUUCCUGGCCAAUCCUUAUCCUCAGAAGGAGAAUCUGUAAACUGUUUAUACAUCCAAAAACAAACCUUUUAGAGUAGUGAUGCACUGAUGAUUCUAUCUCACCUGAAAUUCCCCAAUAAAUCAAACUAAAAGAAAAACAUAUCCAAAAAGGACAAACAUCUCUCUUCCACCCAAUCAACCACUCAACAAAAGCAAAAGAGACUAGCCUUAUCUCCUAAAAGAUCUCGAGGCACUCACUUGUGAACCUCGUGCCUUCUUUAAUUAACAUAUACGAAAGAAUGCAACCACCAAAAGAGGCCUCUCUCUCUCACACUCACUCAUUUUAGUCUCAAUCUCAAGAAACCCAAUAAGAGAUCACAUGAUAGCUCUCCACUUCCUCUGUUGGUGCCAACACUAGUGCAACUUUUUUAGUCAUUUGGUGAUCAAAUAAACAAGAAAACAAGAAGCUGCCAAGCAACAAGUAAUAACAACUACUACUGCUACUAGUGGCCAUAUAUAUUAUAUUAUCUGAUGUGAACAUUGUUGCAAAGUACAUUUUUCUAGGCUGCAAACGCCAAGAACACAACGAUCAAGAAGGGACAACAGGAAUCCUUUCAUCGUAAAAAUUGCUCCGCAUGAAGCUAGUGAAACCAGAGUAUGUGGGUAGCUCUUCUAGCUCAUCAAAGAAGUCAUUUUCUUCUGAUUUGGGUGUUGCAAGUGUCAUCAUUCUAGGGCAAGAGAUGGGCUCUUCAUCUAAGAGAAUAUCCAGUGUGUCAUCAGUUUUUUCUGUAGGGUUCUCAGUGAACGGAUCUUCUUGGCUAAUCAUGAUAUCUUGAGAACAGUUUAUUGGGGAUUGUAAGUAGUGAAAAUUGUGGCCUUCAUUGUCAUCUUUUGGACUGAUUGAAACAGUGGGUUGAUUAUGAUUCUCCUCUUCCUGUUGUUCUUGUUUUGGAGUUGUAGGACGAUCUUCAUCUGUGGAUGGGGCUUGGGAUUCGUUUAGUUGUUGGUUGAGGUUGGUACUAUGGAUAUCAGGACCUGGGUGGUUGUGGGUCGAGGUGUACGUAAUUAUCAGUAAAGAAGCAUCUGUUCUGCAUCUCUCCACUUGUUUUUUGGCUGAACAGCCCUUUGAUGUGCUGCACCUGUAAUAGCCCCUAAAUAGGAGAAGCAUGAAACCAGUGACAACUCUUGAUGUGUGUUGGAGCAAAAAUCAUGGGAAAACAAUGGAGCAAGAAUUUUUUGGUUAAAUUCAAGAACUAAUUAAAAAAGUGAAAUCUGCUUUAAAAUUAUGAGAAAAUAAGUGAAGAAUAAUAAUUAAGUUGAUUUGAAGUUAAUUAGUUGAAAAAGAGAGAUUAUCCAAAAGGAAUAAGAAAUAAAUUAACCUUGGAUAGGGAGAUCCCUUGAUCGGUUUUUGCCCAUAUUUCCUCCAAGACCAAAAAUCAGAAGGUGGCCCUUCAUGCUUUACUUUCCCAGCAUUUUCUCCAAUCCUCACUGUAACAACAGUCUUCUCAACCAGCUUCCUUCUUUUGGAGGCCUGAGUUUCUGAUUUGAGCUCUGAAACUUUAGAGUCAAGUUCUGGAGAGCAGGGAGAACCAUCCAUGACUUCUUUUUGCUAUUAAUAACUGCUUUACUUAUCUUAUGCCAAAAAGCAUUAGAUUGGACAGAGAAGAUAGUUGUGAAGAUUUAACUUGGAGAGAAGUAAGUGAAAAAGGAAGAGAACAGGAUCGAGAUCACACUCUAAUUGAUUGAUUUUGAGGGAGAGAGAGGAAGAGAGAGAGAGAGCAGCAGAAAGAAAAGGAAAAGGGUAGUUAGCUGGGCUGCAAUAGAAGAAAAACAACCCCCCUCAUCAAGUUGCUUUUCCUCUUUUCUUUCACUCAUUAAAUAUAAAGCAGUGAACAAGAACAACCACCAUGUACAUAGAUCAGCAUCACUCCCUCACCCUCCAAUGAAAUAAAGAAACCCACCCUCUCCUACAGUUGGAAAUUAAUUAAUGUAACGAUAGAUAUUUCAAAG